CUUUCGAUCACUUGACCGUUUGAAACAUUUCCAUACAACUGAAUUUAUUCUUUCUUUUGUUGCCUUCUCUUGUUGUACUUCUAGAAUUAUCAUCUGAAGAACAUUCUAUAAAUAUAAAUGGCAUAAGUUAUGAUUGCCUUUAUGUUAUGUCUACAUACCGGUGGUAAUACUGGUAGUACUACUUGUACUAGCAGCACUUCUAGUUUUAGAGCCCGUUCACAUGACAAGCGCUCAACGCGCGUUUUGACAACGAGCGUUUACAAGUACAUGAAUUUUCUUCGAAGCGUACACAUGCCAACGCGCGUUUUUAUGCGUAGAGCGCUGUUCUAUCGCUUGGCCGUAGUAAGCGCGCGUUGGUUCGCGCUUUGGUCACAAAUUUGUUCAUUUUCUCACGUGUUAUGUGUUAUUAACAGAAACUACAGAAAACCUUUUUAAAUCUUCCAUCGAUAGUUUUCGAUUGCUCAAAAUAUCGAUAGUUAUCGAUAGCGCUAUCGAUGGUUCAUGACCUCUGGUAAGGCUGGUUUUAGAGUCACGCUGACCGUCGGCGCUGACAGGCCAUUUUGUAUGAUUAUUUAUGAAGCGUUUUAGAAUAACGCCGACGGCUCAGCGCUGAGACAUACGAGCGCGUACGAGCUACGCGUCGGCGCCGACACGCUAACGAGCUUAGGCCCGGUGCACACAUCCGACUUUUGUAGUUAUGACACCGUUGCUGUGUCGUACUUGCGGCCUGUGGUACGAAGAAUCAAAUGGGAGCAUGCACACUACCCGCCGUGUCGUUGCGACCACAGAAUACUAAUAAUAAGAAAUGCAAUCUCCCUACUAAUCUGUGGAAACAAAAUAGCCGCCAUCUUGAUUAGGUCCGCACUAGCGACACCAACGGGCAAAGUGAGAAAUAGGCUUUCUUCAGGGCGGGAAAAUUUGAAAUUACCGCAGGAAAGUUUGAAAUGUGAAAAAUCUUGCAUCAACUGCACAAAACAAACACAAUAAAGCUUUGUACAGCUGCCUGAGAGGAUCCUUCCUCACAGGAGACACUGCAAGGGUCCGCACUCAAACAGUAGUGUCAGAUU